CUUGUUGCUGUGAUACACAUCUUUGUCAUUGCAGGAUAAUCGAGCUGAAAUUGUACGUUCAGCCAGGCGUUUACUGCAUUUACUGACAUCGCCUCAGGGACAUCCAAGCACAGCAAGUGAUGAAGCCACAGAUCAGGAUACAGGAGUAGAGCAACAUCGUGGUAGGAGUGAAAGUUCAGCUGCUCGGCCUGACAGACAAUCACUUCAAAUGGAAAUGGCCAGAACCUUUCCAGGAAUUUUUAAUAAAGGCAGAGGAAAGAGACGCUUUUCAGCAACAAAUGUUAUACCUGCCAAAAAGAUAAAGCUCCUUGAAGUGUCUUUCUACUUGCUACCAAAGCAGUAUGACAAAACUCCAAGUGAGAAAGAGAAACUGAUCCAUAUGCAGGCAGGACUGGGUCCAAGGACUGCUCAUCUGGAUGAGAGCACAACA